UACGUAGGGUGCGAGCGUUAAUCGGAAUUACUGGGCGUAAAGCGUGCGCAGGCGGUUUUGAAAGCCGGGUGUGAAAUCCCCGGGCUUAACCUGGGAAUGGCAUUUGGGACUGCAAGGCUGGAGUGCGGCAGAGGAGACUGGAAUUCCUGGUGUAGCAGUGAAAUGCGUAGAUAUCAGGAGGAACACCGAUGGCGAAGGCAGGUCUCUGGGCUGACACUGACGCUCAUGCACGAAAGCGUGGGGAGCAAACAGG
rnacentral:rRNA from 1 species